GACACCCUUCCGUGACCGUACUUAAUGCGGGGUGUUGCGUGCACUCCCGUCAUGAAGGGGUGUUAGCCUCACUCCCCAGUGUUUAUAACGAGGUUCUCCCAGACGGCGCAACAGUGCAGCCUCGUACUUUUAUGCAUUUGUUAAGAUGAUCGAGACACAUCUGCAAAUAAUGGGAAAAGAUAUGAACAAGCCUGUGUCUGACAUGCCCAAAGUAGUUGUAUCCCUUUAGAGGACAUUUACUUUUCGCAAGUCCUGGCUGUACCAAGAAAAGCCGUUGGCGACAGAUAUCCUUUGAAGGAUUCGAGUAGUCAUCAUCAGCAUCCCUCAGUAGCCGUCAUUGGGAUGCUGCCUGUACCAACUCACCAUCUCACGAAAGAAAAGGAACAGCCGCAACAGACGCUUCAGUAUUCCUUCUCCUUCUCUUCCCGACUGCGCAGAGACUCCUACAGAAAUCAAUACAGCCACUUGCCGGGAAGCGUGAAAAAUACCCGCCAGCAGACUUCCGAAUAAAGCUGGUCUCAGCCGGGAGAAGAGGAUCCCAGACGCUCAAGUCAAACAUAGUUGUACGCUUGAGGACGAUGUUUGCUCGAGCGAACGACGGCAAUCUACACUACUGACCAUCUGUACUGCGCCCUCUUAAUCCCAUAUUGGAGGUUCUACACUGAUGUGUUCUGAGACCGCUGAAACUAUACUAGUGCGAAAAAAGUGACUGCGUCUUUAUGGGAGCUUUACGGGGCCAUCAUUAACCGUCAGUUUUUGGCGAAAUUCUUUUCUGGCGAUCACGUGGUUCGUGGCCCUAUACAAACAACUAUAUUUUGACGAUGAGGUGGGGAGGUUUUCCACUCUAGGAGUGGAACGCUAGGGGGUCUAAUGUAUACGGUGUGAUGACGAUGAUGGCCCGAUACAAAGCUGCAGACGGACCUACACGGUCUUUAAUUAAAGGACAGUCACGGCUAACAUUUAGCGCAGUGUGACUACGCACAAUCUUAUUUCAU